AUACGUAGGGGGCGAGCGUUGUCCGGAAUUACUGGGCGUAAAGCGCGCGCAGGUGGCUUGUUAAGUCAGGUGUCAAAAUGCGGAGCUCAACUCCGCAGCGCACUUGAAACUGGCAGGCUUGAGUGCAGGAGAGGAAAGUGGAAUUCCUAGUGUAGCGGUGAAAUGCGUAGAUAUUAGGAGGAACACCAGUGGCGAAGGCGACUUUCUGGACUGCAACUGACACUGAGGCGCGAAAGCUAGGGGAGCAAACAGGAUUAGAUACCCUGGUAGUCCUAGCCGUAAACGAUGGGUACUAGGUGUUGGGGGUGACAAUCCUCCAGUGCCGCAGUUAACGCAUUAAGUACCCCGCCUGGGGACUACGGCCGCAAGGCUGAA
rnacentral:rRNA from 1 species